AGUGAGCGCCUACGGGACGGCAGCAGUGGGAAUAUUGCACAAUGGGGGAAACCCUGAUGCAGCGACGCCGCGUGAGCGAAGAAGUAUUUCGGUAUGUAAAGCUCUAUCAGCAGGGAAGAAAAAUGACGGUACCUGACUAAGAAGCACCGGCUAAAUACGUGCC
rnacentral:rRNA from 1 species